UACAGAGGUGGCAAGCGUUGUUCGGAAUUACUGGGCGUAAAGGGCGCGUAGGUGGCCUUCUUAGUCAGACGUGAAAUCCCCAGGCUUAACCUGGGAACUGCGCUCGAAACUACUUGGCUAGAGUGUGGCAGAGGGAGGUGGAAUUCCACGUGUAGCGGUGAAAUGCGUAGAGAUGUGGAGGAACACCGAUGGCGAAGGCAGCCUCCUGGGCCAACACUGACGCUCAUGCACGAAAGCGUGGGGAGCAAACAGG
rnacentral:rRNA from 1 species